UACGAAGGGUGCAAGCGUUACUCGGAAUUACUGGGCGUAAAGCGUGCGUAGGCGGUUUGUUAAGUCCGCUGUGAAAUCCCCAGGCUUAACCUGGGAACUGCAUCCGAUACUGGAUGGCUUGAAUCCGGGAGAGGGAUGCAGAAUUCCAGGUGUAGCGGUGGAAUGCGUAGAGAUCGGGAAGAACAUCGGUGGCGAAGGCGGUCUGCUGGGCCGUUGCUGACGCUGAGGCGCGACAGCGUGGGGAGCAAACAGG
rnacentral:rRNA from 1 species